AACAUACUCCCUCCGUCCGGAAAUACUUGUCAUCAAAAUGGAUAAAAGGAGAUGUAUCUAGACGUAUUUUAGUUCUAGAUACAUCCCUUUUUAUCCAUUUUGAUGACAAGUAUUUUCAGACGGAGGGAGUAUGUG
rfam:Triticum aestivum genome assembly, contig: Triticum_aestivum_CS42_TGACv1_scaffold_395050_5AS